GACGAACGCUGGCGGCGUGCUUAACACAUGCAAGUCGAGCGGUAAGGCCCUUUCGGGUACGACGAGCGGCGAACGGGUGAGUAACACGUGGGUGACCUGCCCUCAGCUCUGGGAUAAGCCUGGGAAACUGGGUCUAAUACUGGAUAUGACUCCAUGACGCAUGUCGUGGGGUGGAAAGCCUUGUGCGGCUGAGGAUGGGCCCGCGGCCUAUCAGCUUGUUGGUGGGGUGAUGGCCUACCAAGGCGACGACGGGUAGCCGGCCUGAGAGGGCGACCGGCCACACUGGGACUGAGACACGGCCCAGGACUCCUACGGGAGGCAGCAGUGGGGAAUCUUGCGCAAUGGGCGAAAGCCUGACGCAGCGACGCCGCGUGAGGGAUGACGGCCUCGGU
rnacentral:rRNA from 1 species